rnacentral:rRNA from 1 species
UGCGUAGUUGUUUAUUUUUGGAAGUAAAAAGUCUAACAAGGUCUCCGUAGGUGAACCUGCGGAGGGAUCAUUACACAAAUAUGAAGGCGGGCUGGAACCUCUCGGGGUUACAGCCUUGCUGAAUUAUUCACCCUUGUCUUUUGCGUACUUCUUGUUUCCUUGGUGGGUUCGCCCACCACUAGGACAAACAUAAACCUUUUGUAAUUGCAAUCAGCGUCAGUAACAAAUUAAUAAUUACAACUUUCAACAACGGAUCUCUUGGUUCUGGCAUCGAUGAAGAACGCAGCGAAAUGCGAUAAGUAGUGUGAAUUGCAGAAUUCAGUGAAUCAUCGAAUCUUUGAACGCACAUUGCGCCCUUUGGUAUUCCAAAGGGCAUGCCUGUUCGAGCGUCAUUUGUACCCUCAAGCUUUGCUUGGUGUUGGGCGUCUUGUCUCUAGCUUUGCUGGAGACUCGCCUUAAAGUAAUUGGCAGCCGGCCUACUGGUUUCGGAGCGCAGCACAAGUCGCACUCUCUAUCAGCAAAGGUCUAGCAUCCAUUAAGCCUUUUUUUCAACUUUGACCUCGGAUCAGGUAGGGAUCCCCAGUC